UACGUAGGGUCCAAGCGUUGUCUGGAAUUAUUGGGCGUAAAGAGCUCGUAGGCGGUGUGUCGCGUCGGAUGUGAAAGCCCGGGGCUUAACCCCGGGUCUGCAUUCGGUACGGGCAUGCUGGAGUUCGGUAGGGGAGACUGGAAUUCCUGGUGUAGCGGUGAAAUGCGCAGAUAUCAGGAGGAACACCGGUGGCGAAGGCGGGUCUCUGGGCCGAUACUGACGCUGAGGAGCGAAAGCGUGGGGAGCGAACAGG
rnacentral:rRNA from 1 species